rnacentral:rRNA from 1 species
ACGCACGCUGGCGGCGUGCUUCACACAUGCAAGUCGAACGGAAAGGCCCUGCUUUUGUGGGGUGCUCGAGUGGCGAACGGGUGAGUAACACGUGAGUAACCUGCCCUUGACUUUGGGAUAACUUCAGGAAACUGGGGCUAAUACCGGAUAGGAGCUCCUGCUGCAUGGUGGGGGUUGGAAAGUUUCGGCGGUUGGGGAUGGACUCGCGGCUUAUCAGCUUGUUGGUGGGGUAGUGGCUUACCAAGGCUUUGACGGGUAGCCGGCCUGAGAGGGUGACCGGCCACAUUGGGACUGAGAUACGGCCCAGACUCCUACGGGAGGCAGCAGUGGGGUAUAUUGCACAAUGGGCGGAAGCCUGAUGCAGCAACGCCGCGUGCGGGAUGACGGCCUUCGGGUUGUAAACCGCUUUCGCCUGUGACGAAGCGUGAGUGACGGUAAUGGGUAAAGAAGCACCGGCUAACUACGUG